AAACGCUCAAAGAUCACCGGGUGUAUAGUGGUGUGUGACACCCUCCGGACCUUGAAAAUUCCGUGCAUUCUUCGCACAUGAUUUGAUACGUCAAAAUGGAUCUUCAACGAUAAGCAGUAUCAAAACUCCCGUAUUCUCGUGAAUUCUAGGUGGGGAUACAACAACGUGUGAACUUUGAAGACAGUAAAAAGUCUAAAUAUUUUACAAAGAGUACAAACUUCGGUUAUCUGUAAGAUCACAAACAAACAAUGAUUCUUCAGCACGAACAAGAGUACGAACAGUGAACUGUAGCGUAGUGGAAAAAAAGAAUUUUUCCUUUAAUCAUCAUUACCUUCCAUAAUAUUAUAAAGAGGAAGCGCUAUCUUUAAACCAACAACACGUAAGGAUUAUGCAUUUUCGGGCUGCCGGUAUCAUCAGCCGCCAUCUUGAAACCCAGAAUUUAUACAGCCCACAAGACAACGCGCGCCUACUUGUCAUGCCGCGGCGAUCUUCUAAUUCGGGGGAGGCACUUAUUGG